rnacentral:rRNA from 1 species
UACGUAGGGUGCAAGCGUUAAUCGGAAUUACUGGGCGUAAAGCGUGCGCAGGCGGUUUUGUAAGUCUGUCGUGAAAUCCCCGGGCUCAACCUGGGAAUUGCGAUGGAGACUGCAAGGCUAGAGUUUGGCAGAGGGGGGUAGAAUUCCACGUGUAGCAGUGAAAUGCGUAAAGAUGUGGAGGAACACCGAUGGCGAAGGCAGCCCCCUGGGUCAAAACUGACGCUCAUGCACGAAAGCGUGGGGAGCAAACAGG